rnacentral:rRNA from 1 species
GUUUGGGCAUUUUAAAGAGACUGCCGGUGUUAAGCCGGAGGAAGUGGGGAUGACGUCAAGUCCUCAUGGCCUUUAUGCCCAGGGCUACACACGUGCUACAAUGGGCGGUACAAAGAGAAGCAACCUCGCGAGGGUGAGCAAAUCUCAAAAAGCCGUUCUCAGUUCGGAUUGAAGUCUGCAACUCGACUUCAUGAAGUCGGAAUCGCUAGUAAUCGCGGAUCAGCAUGCCGCGGUGAAUACGUUCCCGGGCCUU